GCCAGUUUGGCGCAGUGGUAGUCGCGUGUCACUUGUAAUGACAAGGUCGCUAGUUCAAUCCUGGCAAUUGGCA